CUGAACCAGCCAAGUAGCGUGAAGGAUGAAGGUUCUAUGGAUUGUAAACUUCUUUAAUACGGGAAUAAUCGAAUCCACGCGUGGAUUUUUGCAUGUACCUUAUGAAUAAGUUUCGGCUAACUCCGUGCCAGCAGCCGCGGUAAUACGGAGGAUCCGAGCGUUAUCCGGAUUUAUUGGGUUUAAAGGGAGCGUAGAUGGGUUGUUAAGUCAGUUGUGAAAGUUUGCGG
rnacentral:rRNA from 1 species